rnacentral:ncRNA from 1 species
CACCGCCCGUCGCUACUACCGAUUGAAUGGUUUAGUAAGGUCCUUGGAUUGGUGCCAUUUAGGUUCCACCGAAAGGUGAGUAUCUAGCCGGUGCUGAGAAGACGACCAAACUUGAUCAUUUAGAGGAAGUAAAAGUCGUAACAAGGUUUCCGUAGGUGAACCUGCGGAAG